AAAACGACUCUCAGUAACGGAUAUCUCGGCUCGCAUCGAUGAAGAACGUAGCGAAAUGCGAUACUUGGUGUGAAUUGCAGAAAUCCCGUGAACCAUCGAGUCUUUGAACGCAAAGUCGCCCCCAAGCCUUCUGGCCGAGGCACGUCCGCCCGGGUGUCACAA
rnacentral:rRNA from 1 species